CCGCGCGCGCGCUCUGGAGACUCCUGCGGUCUCCCUAGCUGUUUCUUGAAGCUCUGCAUAAGCCUCGCCCGCGGCCGCCGGGUUGCGUCCGCACUUCUGCGCGCUGGCCCCUCCCUUGCUCCUCUCCCUAGCAGUCUCCAGGGUUUUACCGGGAGGACCUAGGCAACGGCCUGAGACUCCGAGGACAUUUUUAAAGAUUGGAAUGAUCUCGUUCUUGAAACCUAGGUACUCUAUGUUGAAGAUGCCUGGACUAACCUACUGAAGAUACGUGGUUUUACCAACAGCCAGCACCAAUAGGAAGAUAUGAAUGAAGCCAUCUGAGACCAGCCAUCUGGCAGCCAAACUGCCAACUGACUGCAAAUGCAUGAAUGAUCCCACUGACACCACGUAGAGCACAAAUGAGUUGCCUCCACUGAGCCCAGCCCAAAUUGUUAUCCUAUAAAAUCAUAAAAACAUAAACAGUUGUUUUAAGUCACUAAGUUUUGGAUAGUUUGUUAUACAACAAAAGCUAGCUGAAACAAAUGUAUUAGCUAGAGCAGCUGUGAAUGGCACUAUUUGCUUAGUUGAUUGGCUGAAAUUUGGACUCACUGGUAGGUUACAUUUAAUGGUGUUGAGUUGCCAGAAUUUCUCUGGAAUAAUGUAUAGGAAGGAUUCUAAUGGCCUAAGCCAUUAGAAUCUCUAAGGAGAUAGAAAUAAAGGAGUGAUUUAUUAUAUGUAACUGUGCCUCUUCCCUCACCACACUUGGUCCUGAAAGAGCCUAAGGAAUAGUUUCUUCUCUAAAGCAUUGAAAAAUGCUUUAAUGGGAGAAGCCCCAGCACCCUUGAACAUGUUCAGGCAGCUGCUUUCUAUAGGCCAAGGAUGUGGUGGGAAAAUCUGCCUGAUCUCAAUGUAGAUGAUGAGAUCCCAGAGUAGCGAUCAGCAUUUUUUACCAGCAGGAAUAAUCUUUGGUGGUGGUUGGCUCUAAGAAUUAAAUAGAUGUGGGCCGGGCGUGGUCUCACUAUAUUGAAGUAAACUGAUGCGUAGAGGUCAACCAAUAUAUUCAGAGUUGUAUAACUCAUACCUAGUUGAGCUGGGGUUUGAAUCUCUGAUGCCAGAACCCACACGCCACCUACACUCCUAUAGCACUUCCCUGGAAAAGAGUGAAAUUAAUUAUUAUUAUUAAAUUCUGGGAUACAUGUGCUGAACCUGCAGGUUUGUUACAUAGGUAUACAUGUGCCAUGGUGGUUUGCUGAAUCUAUCAACAUGUCAUCUAGGUAUUUGUCCUAAUGCUCUUCUCUGCUUUCCCCCAACCCCCUCAACAGGCCCUGGUGGGUGAUGUUCCCCUCCUUGUGUCCAUGUGUUCUCAUUGUUCAACUCCUACAUAUGAGUGAGAACAUGUGGUGUUUGGUUUUCUGUUCCUGUGUUAGUUUGCUGAGGAUUAUGGUUUCCAGCUUCAUCCGUGUCCCUGCAAAGGACAUGAACUCAUUCUUUUUUUAUGGCUGCAUAGUAUUCCAUGCUGUAUAUGUGCCACCUUUUCUUUAUCCAGUCUAUCAUUGAUGGGCAUUUGGGUUGGUUCCAAGUUUUUGCUAUUGUGAAUAGUGCUGCAAUAAACAUACGUGUGCAUGUGUCUUUAUAGUAGAAUGAUUUAUAAUCCUUUGGGUAUAUACUCAGUAAUGUGAUUGCUGGGUCAAAUGGUAUUUCUGGUUCUAGACCCUUGAGAAAUCACCACACUGUCUUCCACAAGGGUUGAACUAAUUUACACUCCCACCAACAGUGUAAAAGUGUUCCUAUUUCUCUGCACCCUCGCCAGCAUCUGUUGUUUCUGAAAUUAAUUAUUGACCAGCAAAGAGACCACACAGUAUAAAAAUACCACUUUAAACCCCAUGUGGUAGGAAAUCAGGGCACAUUAUGGUGUGUAACAAAAAAUAUAGGUUUGUUGCUCUAAUUCCAUCCCUUUCAAACUGAACAAGCAGCCUUAACCAAAUUACUUAACCUCUCUGUGCCUUUCCUUAUCUGUAAAAUGGAGUAAUUAAUAGUGUCUUUUUCAGAGAGUUUGGGGAUGAUUUGUUCCAAUAGUAUGUGUAAAAUGCUUAACAAUAUUGGGCAAUAGCAAGUACUUGAUAAAUGUUAGGUGUUAAGAUAGCAUGCUGUAGUAUAGAAAAUUUCUGAAGCUAAGACACAUUGCCUUAUGAUUUUCUCCCCUGACAGAACCCAGAUUUCAGGAUACUACAGCUAGAUUGCUCUCUCCCUAUUUGGUAAUCUAAAAGAUAGCCCCAAUCUAGGAACAAAGAUGGGAAUAUUUUGACAGAAGCCAUUAUGCCACUGGGUUCCUAACAGAGUUAAACAAAACUCCCCAAGCAUUCAACAUGCCAAUCACAUAUCUGGGGCAUGGGUGGGGGUAGGGGCAGCAUAGGUGGGCUUCUUCCAGGGAAGAAGGCCUUGUCUCCUGCCCUGCUCUCUGUGGUGUUAGGAAGUGCUCCUCCUCCAGCAGGAGCCCCAGAUCAAGCAUCCCUAGGACCCAACCCUGCUGAAAAGUACAUCCAAGUUUGCCUCAAAGGCCUUCAAAUCUUUGGGAGCCAAAUGGCGUAAUAGGAUAUUAAACUUACUGACUUGCAAGACCCUGAGCAAACCUCUUACCCAAAAGUAGAAUAUAUAAAGAACGUUGAAGAAUAACAAUUGAGUUUUAUUCUUUAAAGGCAUUCUCUGAUUUACAUGAGAAUUGA
rnacentral:lncRNA from 10 species